rnacentral:rRNA from 1 species
GACGAACGCUGGCGGCGCGCUUAACACAUGCAAGUCGAACGGAAAGGCCCUGCUUUUGUGGGGUGCUCGAGUGGCGAACGGGUGAGUAACACGUGAGUAACCUGCCCUUGACUUUGGGAUAACUUCAGGAAACUGGGGCUAAUACCGGAUAGGAGCUCCUGCUGCAUGGUGGGGGUUGGAAAGUUUCGGCGGUUGGGGAUGGACUCGCGGCUUAUCAGCUUGUUGGUGGGGUAGUGGCUUACCAAGGCUUUGACGGGUAGCCGGCCUGAGAGGGUGACCGGCCACAUUGGGACUGAGAUACGGCCCAGACUCCUACGGGAGGCAGCAGUGGGGAAUAUUGCACAAUGGGCGGAAGCCUGAUGCAGCAACGCCGCGUGCGGGAUGACGGCCUUCGGGUUGUAAACCGCUUUCGCCUGUGACGAAGCGUGAGUGACGGUAAUGGGUAAAGAAGCACCGGCUAACUACGUGCCAGCAGCCGCGGUGAUACGUAGGGUGCGAGCGUUGUCCGGAUUUAUUGGGCGUAAAGGGCUCGUAGGUGGUUGAUCGCGUCGGAAGUGUAAUCUUGGGGCUUAACCCUGAGCGUGCUUUCGAUACGGGUUGACUUGAGGAAGGUAGGGGAGAAUGGAAUUCCUGGUGGAGCGGUGGAAUGCGCAGAUAUCAGGAGGAACACCAGUGGCGAAGGCGGUUCUCUGGGCCUUUCCUGACGCUGAGGAGCGAAAGCGUGGGGAGCGAACAGGCUUAGAUACCCUGGUAGUCCACGCUGUAAACGGUGGGUACUAGGUGUGGGGUCCAUUCCACGGGUUCCGUGCCGUAGCUAACGCUUUAAGUACCCCGCCUGGGGAGUACGGCCGCAAGGCUAAAACUCAAAGGAAUUGACGGGGCCCCGCACAAGCGGCGGAGCAUGCGGAUUAAUUCGAUGCAACGCGUAGAACCUUACCUGGGUUUGACAUGGAUCGGGAGUGCUCAGAGAUGGGUGUGCCUCUUUUGGGGUCGGUUCACAGGUGGUGCAUGGCUGUCGUCAGCUCGUGUCGUGAGAUGUUGGGUUAAGUCCCGCAACGAGCGCAACCCUUGUUCACUGUUGCCAGCACGUUAUGGUGGGGACUCAGUGGAGACCGCCGGGGUCAACUCGGAGGAAGGUGGGGAUGACGUCAAGUCAUCAUGCCCCUUAUGUCCAGGGCUUCACGCAUGCUACAAUGGCUGGUACAGAGAGUGGCGAGCCUGCGAGGGUGAGCGAAUCUCGGAAAGCCGGUCUCAGUUCGGAUUGGGGUCUGCAACUCGACCUCAUGAAGUCGGAGUCGCUAGUAAUCGCAGAUCAGCAACGCUGCGGUGAAUACGUUCCCGGGGCU